UACGGAAGGGGCUAGCGUUGUUCGGAAUCAUUGGGCGUAAAGAGCGUGUAGGCGGCCCGGUAAGUCCGCUGUAAAAGUCAAAGGCUCAACCUUUGAAUGUCAGUGGAUACUGCCGGGCUAGAGUCCGGAAGAGGCGAGUGGAACUCCUGGUGUAGCGGUGGAAUGCGCAGAUAUCAGGAAGAACACCAACGGCGAAGGCAGCUCGCUGGGACGGUACUGACGCUGAGACGCGAAAGCGUGGGGAGCGAACAGG
rnacentral:rRNA from 1 species